ensembl:snoRNA
CUGAUACAAUGAUGAUCCCAUAGUUCAGCGGAUUAAACCAUGAAGAAUAUUUGCUUGUCUUUCGCUCCUAGCUGAUGUGUCAA